AUACGGAGGGUGCAAGCGUUAUCCGGAAUCAUUGGGUUUAAAGGGUCCGUAGGCGGGCUAAUAAGUCAGGGGUGAAAUCCCACAGCUUAACUGUGGAACUGCCCUUGAUACUGUUGGUCUUGAGUUACAGUGAAGUGGUUAGAAUGUGUAGUGUAGCGGUGAAAUGCAUAGAGAUUACACAGAAUACCGAUUGCGAAGGCAGAUCACUAACUGUAUUCUGACGCUAAUGGACGAAAGCGUGGGGAGCGAACAGGAUUAGAUACCCUAGUAGUCC
rnacentral:rRNA from 1 species